GAGUUUGAUCCUGGCUCAGGACGAACGCUGGCGGCGUGCUUAACACAUGCAAGUCGAACGGAAAGGCCCCGCUCGCGGGGUACUCGAGUGGCGAACGGGUGAGUAACACGUGGGUGAUCUGCCCUGCACUUCGGGAUAAGCCUGAGAAACUGGGUCUAAUACCGGAUAUGACCUCCCUUUAGUGUGGGGGGUGGAAAGAUUUAUCGGUGCAGGAUGAGCCCGCGGUCUAUCAGCUUGUUGGUGGGGUAAUGGCCUACCAAGGCGUCGACGGGUAGCCGGCCUGAAAGGGUGGACGGCCACAUUGGGACUGAGAUACGGCCCAGACUCCUACGGGAGGCAUCAGUGGGGAAUAUUGCACAAUGGGCGGAAGCCUGAUGCAACGACGCCGCGUGGGGGAUGACGGCCUUCGGGUAGUAAACCUCUUUCGACAGGGACGAAGUGAGAAUGACGGUACCUGUAUAAGAAGCACCGGCUAAAUACGUGCCAGCAGCCGCGGUAAUACGUAGGGUGCGAGCGUUGUCCGGAAUUACUGGGCGUAAAGAGCUCGUAGGUGGUUUGUCACGUCCUCUGUGAAAUACCGGGGCUUAACCUCGGGCGUGCAGGCCAUACGGGCAACACUGCACUGCUGUAGGGGCGACUGGACUUCCUGAUGUAGCGUGCAAAGCGCCCAUAUCAGGAGGAACACCAAUGGCGAAGGCAGGUCUCUGGGCAGUUACUGACGCUGAGGAGCGAAAGCAUGGGUAGCGAACAGGAUUAGAUACACUGGUAGUCCAUGCCGUAAACGGUGGGCGCUAGGUGUAGGGGACUUCCACGUUCUCUGUGCCGUAGCUAACGCAUUAAGCGCCCCGCCUGGGGAGUACGGCUGCAAGGCUAAAACUCAAAGGAAUUGACGGGGGCCCGCACAAGCGGCGGAGCAUGUGGAUUAAUUCGAUGCAACGCGAAGAACCUUACCUGGGCUUGACAUACACCGGACCGGCGUAGAGAUACGUCUUCCCUUGUGGCCGGUGUACAGGUGGUGCAUGGUUGUCGUCAGCUCGUGUCGUGAGAUGUUGGGUUAAGUCCCGCAACGAGCGCAACCCUUGUCUUAUGUUGCCAGCACGUGAUGGUGGGACUCAUGAGAGACUGCCGGGGUCAACUCGGAGGAAGGUGGGGAUGACGUCAAAUCAUCAUGCCCCUUAUGUUCAGGGCUUCACACAUGCUACAAUGGUCGGUACAGCAGGUCGCGAACUCGUGAGAGUAAGCCAAUCCUUCAAAGCCGGCCUCAGCUCGGAUUGGGGUCUGCAACUCGACCCCAUGAAGUCGGAGUCGCUAGUAAUCGCAGAUCAGCAACGAUGCGGUGAAUACGUUCCCGGGCCUUGUACACACCGCCCGUC
rnacentral:rRNA from 1 species